UUUAUUUUAUUUUAUUUUAUUUUAUUUUAUUUUAUUUUAUUUUAUUUCAUUUCAUUUCAUUUCAUUUCAUUUCAUUUCAUUUCAUUUCAUUUCAUUCCUUUACAAUAACAAAGUUGCACAGAAGGGAUAUAAAGAUGACAAAAGUACCGCUCUUCAAGAACAACAUUUAUCCUUUGGAAACUACAAAGACUGGGUGCAUAGUUUGUAAGAUUUCUAUUUUAUUUUAUUUUUUUUUAAAUAAUGUUUUCUUUUAUGCCUAAAUUUUCCUUGUCAGGUUUUCUCUCGACACCACAAGUGCACACAGUCAUCAGUUUCUGUGAAAAACUAAUGCAAAAAUGACAGUGGAGAAGAAAUCCUUACAGCAGCAGUUUGUGAAGGAGUCCACCUCAGGAAGCUUCACUUCUGCAUGCAGUUUUGCCCAUUGGUGGGACGUUGUCCUGAGCAGACGUUGCGCCCAGUCACUGCUUGAAAUGAGAAAACAGCCUGCUAGACGUUUUACUUCUCUGGUUUUACUACUGUAAUUAUUAAAUGUACCCACGAGAUGGUGCUGCUAUCCUUCGGGUGAGUCUGUUAAACUUUGUAGCGAGGCUAGAAACAGGAAAAAGUAGAGGACAGCUUGGGUCAGGAAUAUGUCAGAGAUGUUGAAUAUAUUCACAUUGCACAGCUUCCAUAUUUUUUGACAAUUAUAAAUGGAUUUUAAUUGCACUGAACAAAACCUUCAUAAAAAUAUCUUUGUGGCAGACAGUAGAGUAUAAUAGACCAGCAUCAGUAUCUAACACAUCUACAGGGGAAGCCUAAUAGCAAUUUUUAAAUAUCAAAUUCAACCUUUCAGUUUACAACAAAAGAUUCCCUUCUAACCAGAUUUUAUCUAGAUUAAAAC
rnacentral:lncRNA from 1 species